rnacentral:rRNA from 1 species
AUUGAACGCUGGCGGCAGGCCUAACACAUGCAAGUCGAACGGUAGCACAGAGAGCUUGCUCUCGGGUGACGAGUGGCGGACGGGUGAGUAACGUCUGGGAAACUGCCCGAUGGAGGGGGAUAACUACUGGAAACGGUAGCUAAUACCGCAUAACGUCGCAAGACCAAAGUGGGGGACCUUCGGGCCUCACACCAUCGGAUGUGCCCAGAUGGGAUUAGCUAGUAGGUGGGGUAAUGGCUCACCUAGGCGACGAUCUCUAGCUGGUCUGAGAGGAUGACCAGCCACACUGGAACUGAGACACGGUCCAGACUCCUACGGGAGGCAGCAGUGGGGAAUAUUGCACAAUGGCCGCAAGCCUGAUGCAGCCAUGCCGCGUGUAUGAAGAAGGCCUUCGGGUUGUAAAGUACUUUCAGCGGGGAGGAAGGCGGUGAAGUUAAUAACUUCACCGAUUGACGUUACCCGCAGAAUAAGCACCGGCUAACUACGUGCCAGCAGCCGCCGCCG